CAUUCCUUCGGUUAGUAGGUUCAUACCUUCGAGGCCCUCUUCCUUUCACGACAACCUUAGGCACCUGAUUUUGAUUGCUACCUUCAUUAUAUUCUCUGUUAUUAUAUUCUCUGUUGUUAUAUUCUCUGUCAUUGUAUUCUCUUCUGUUUCCACGAACAUGUCCUCCACGACCAGUGCCACGAGUUCUACCGCGCCCUCGAAAAUUACCCCUAGAAGGUCUCCUCUAAAUUUCAUACACACAACAUUAGAAAAGAGUCUUAGAAAAAUGACUGUUGAACUAAAAUGAAUGUGUGAUCACAAAGCACUAUAAAGAUCAUUACCUCUAAAUUUCAUACACACAACAUUAGAAAAGAGUCUUAGAAAAAUGACUGUUGAACUAAAAUGAAUGUGUGAUCACAAAGCACUAUAAAGAUCAUUACCUCAUCAUAGCGUCUAUCUUGCACUGAAAUUUCCUCGAAUUUAUCAUGUCCCCAUUUCUUGUCAUCUUUGGACUCCCACAAUCUCCUUCCACCAUGCAUCCUCCUUUGAAAAGUCAGAGAGUUAAAAAGAUAAGAAAAAAAAAACUAUGAAGCAGACACAUACAUCUCACGCAUUGACACUAAUAAUUGGAUAGAAUAAUAGAAUGUAAUCAAACGUGUCAAUGCCAUACAUGUGCCUUUGAUCUAAAGUAUCCGUAAUAUGAAGCAGACACAUACACGACACUGACUCACGCAUUGACAUUAAUAAUUGGAUGGAAUAAUGUCAAUGCCAUACAGGUGCCUGCGAUCUAAAGUAUCCGUGAUACAUACAAAAUAGCAAAUUCUAUGACCAAAUCUAAAACAAAGCUACAAAAUUCCAAGUCAAAGUAACACUAAAUAUACAACAAAUAUAAACAGAUUCAUAAAGGUAUAUUUGGUACAAAGCAACAUGAUGAAAAAAGAUACCUUUGGCGGGCAUUAGAAUUGUCCCUAAAACGGUCAUCAUGCAUGUAAAAGGCACCAGCAGUGGGCACAGCAAAUGGUUCGUUCUCCUUUUUCUCCUCCAAAUUAACCUCACCAGAAUCUUCUUCUUCCAAAGAGGGUACCACACCACCUUCAGAUUCCUUAACCACAAUCACUGAACCAUCAACCCCACCUUCACCUUUCUCCUCAUAAACCUCUUCUUCAACUCCCUCCUCAUACUCUUCUUCCUCGUAUUCUUCUUCUUCCUCAACUUCCUCAUCAUCUUCAUCAUAAUCAGCAACACCACCUUCACCAUCUGAAUCAUCAGAACGAACCCUAACACGAAGAUCUUCACUCUUAACUGAAUCAUCAUCAUCUCUUUCUCCUACCCC
rnacentral:lncRNA from 1 species